AGUUGGAAUUGGCACACAGAAUGUCUCUUGUAGAAACGAAGAUAAAAUGGAAAAUAGACGAGUAUAUAUAAUGUGUAACUGUCAUGCAAUCGAUGAUGACCGUUUCCAACAGUAAAUACGAUGACCUGAUAAAAGAGAAGAACGGGUAAAAAGAAAAGAGACGUACAUACGAGCAAGGUGAAACACUUUCGUGAUGAAAAGGCCCCGAGGAACAUGAGUUCUGCGAACAAGGAGAGGUUCUGAAGAGUGCAACGAUUUCUAUGUGGGCCACGAGAAAGUUACUAGCGCGUGUCGCUUUUUUUAUUCUUUUUCGAAAGAAAGAGAUAUUUGACCCUUUUGCACUUUCGCGGUCAAACAAAAUCGCGCGUGGACCUGCAGCCUCGAAUUCAUUUUCGCGACGAAAAUCAACCACCAUCAGAAUAGGAAGAAAAGAAUAAGAUCUAUUUUUAAUCCUUUCGCUGCUGAAGAAGAUUGUUAUUGCCCAAUGGAAAAUGUUCACAUUUUAAAAAUGCCAAUUAUUAAGAACAAGAGUAAUUAAUUUUCAAAUUUCAAAUUUCAAUCUUUCAAUCUGCAAUUUUACAUUAGUAAAGUGAUCCUUCAAAGGAGAAGUUCAAAAGUAUAGUACUCGAUCGGAUGCGCUACAUUGAAUUGCGGAAGUGCAGAACACCUGUGGCUGCCGGCGAUAUUGAAUAACAUAUUGAUAUUUAAAACCAACAUUGCAACUGGUUUGUGUACAUGUAUUAUGUGGGCUCUUCGUUUCAGUUGUAAUGUGAAUAUACGAAGAGAUUUUUAAGAAAGUUUAGAAGAAAGUGAAAGCACUUCUCUUAAAGUGAAAUGGACGUAUUGGAAAUUUAAGACAUGAUUAUAUUGGGAGAUAUGUGAAUUGAUUAGCUAUAGGAUAAUAAAUCCACUAUAAAAUUUGCUAGGAUAUAAAGAAAUUCAAAUAAAAUGUCCGAUUUCUUAAAAUAAAAAUAUAGUAAUUGCAAA